rnacentral:rRNA from 1 species
AUCAGAAUGCUGCGGUGAAUGCGUUCCCGGGUCUUGUACACACCGCCCGUCACACCACGGGAGUUGGAGCCGCCCGAAGCCGAUUAUCUAACCUUUUGGAAGAAGUCGUCGAAGGUGGAAUCAAUACCUGGGGUGAAGUCGUAACAAGGUAGCCGUAUCGGAAGGUGCGGCUGGAUCACCUCCUUUCUAAGGAGA